rnacentral:lncRNA from 1 species
GUCAAGAAAAUAUGAAACACAAGAAAAUUCAUAGUGAUUGACAAUGGUAAGCAGAGGCUCAUGUUGAAGAGUAAGAGGAAAUAAGCCUUUAAGACACUGUAUCUGAGUUCUUAGUUUUAAGCACUGUAGAUAAGUAUGUGCUGGAUCAAGCAAAAUGGCUCACUUCCUUGAAAUAUGGGGAAAUAAAUCUGUGUAAGGAUGGCUGGUCCAGCUGGUUUCCUGCCAAUUCUUGGAUGGGUCAUCCUAGUCCAGAGUAUCAUGGAAAAUUGUUCACACAGCUUGACUGAUUGCUUUAAGGGUUUACACUUGUCUCAACUCAGAAAUCCAAGCUCUCCCAGGACUGUUCUAACGGCAGUUCUAAAAGCCUCUUUGGUGUGUUGGAGGCCAGGUAGAGGUGAAGCUUCGCAGUGCUUGGACGUAUACUCAACCAUACGGAGAAUAUCAGCCUGUAGCAGGUAAAUAAGAGCCCAGCACAGAAGAAAAGGCAGAGCUACAAGAAGACAGUGCCACAUUAUUUUCAUUGGAAUCUAUGUACGCAUCUAUGCCUGAGUUUAAAGAUGCUCAAUGACUGUAGGAAGAAGAUACUGGAUUUUCAAAAUAACAUUUGAUGAAAGCAAUUGCCAUGCAGUGAUGAGAACAGGUUUGGGAGGCUCAAGACCUGGUGUGACAUCCUGACUCCAAUUGGUUCAUAUGAGGAGACAAGGAGAAGAUGUCCAUCUGGAAACCUUCAGGAAGUGGAUCUUCACCAGACACCAGAUCUGCUGGUACUUUGUUCUGGACUUCUCAGUCUCCAGAACUGUGAGAAAUAAGUGUCUGUUGUUUAAGCCAUUCAAUCAAUAGCAUUUUGUCAUAUCAUCCUAAACUGUCUCGUGGUGUUUGUAUUGUUUCAACCUAAAGCCCUGAAUGAUGUGAAUGGUUAACCAUUUAUAAACUACUGAAGUUGACUCAGCACAUUAUCUUGUACAUGGUGGACCA